AUUGAACGCUGGCGGCAUGCUUUACACAUGCAAGUCGAACGGUAACAGGUUAAGCUGACGAGUGGCGAACGGGUGAGUAAUGCAUCGGAACGUGCCCGAUCGUGGGGGAUAACGCAGCGAAAGCUGCGCUAAUACCGCAUACGAUCUGAGGAUGAAAGCGGGGGACCGUAAGGCCUCGCGCGAUCGGAGCGGCCGAUGUCAGAUUAGGUAGUUGGUGGGGUAAAGGCUCACCAAGCCAACGAUCUGUAGCUGGUCUGAGAGGACGACCAGCCAGACGUGGACUGAGACACGGCCCAGACUCGUACGGGAGGCAGCAGUGGGGAAUUUUGGACAAUGGGCGAAAGCCUGAUCCAGCAAUGCCGAGUGCAGGAAGAGGGCCUUCGGGUUGUAAACUGCUUUUGUACGGAGCGAAAAGGCCCUCUCUAAUACAGUGGGCUCAUGACGGUACCGUAAGAAUAAGCACCGGCUAACUACGUGCCAGCAGCCGCCGUAA
rnacentral:rRNA from 1 species